rnacentral:misc_RNA from 1 species
UUUAUUGGUGGGCACACGAAAAUAAAAUUAACCCUUUAGAUUUAUAUAUUGCUUGGUCUGCACAUGGAAAACAAAGUUGUAGAAGAUGCUCAGAGAUAGAUUUAGCAAAUAAAUUAGUUACAAGUUGGGUGCAAAAAGAGACUAUAGGGCUAUUAAAUAAAAACAGGCCACCUAAGUGUACCGAGCACUCAAAUAAAGU